rnacentral:misc_RNA from 1 species
CCCCUCCAAUAGCAAUUAUCUGGAAUAUCCAGAUAUAAAUUAGUGUCGCCAAGAGUGAUCUCUCAACUCCUGCCAUGUAUUCAUGCCCAAAUAAAUAAUAUCUCAAGGAUUUGUCCUGCGGAACAAACUCAUAAACGAGCAGUCUAUUAACUCCUUCUUCGCAGUAUCCAAUAAGGUUAAUAGCUUUCAUCUUUGUGUAUUCUUCUUCUUGCUUCCUAGAAUUAUUAAACUUCUUAACUGUCACCAUUUUACCAUUGAGGUCUCCUUUAAAGACUUGACCCAAAGGACCCUCGUCAAGACGGUUGUCCUCAGAGAAACCUCCAGUUGCCGUUGUUAGUUCUUGAUAAGUAAAUCUUCUCAGCUGAUAAUCUUCUUGAAAAUUAGUUCUCUCCUGCUGAUAAUCUUGAAACCUCUCAGUGCCAUUAGUGGUCUCCGAGGAAUCAUAAGUUGCCAUUGUGUGUUCUCGAAGUGUAAAUUCCCUCGGUUCAAUGCCAUUAUAAUUAGCUUCUGAACUGACAAAAG